GACGAACGCUGGCGGCGUGCUUAACACAUGCAAGUCGAGCGGUAAGGCCCUUUCGGGGGCACACGAGCGGCGAACGGGUGAGUAACACGUGGGUGACCUGCCUUUAGCUCUGGGAUAAGCCUGGGAAACCGGGUCUAAUACCGGAUAUGACUCCGCGGCGCAUGUUGUGGGGUGGAAGGCCUUGUGCGGCUGGAGAUGGGCCCGCGGCCUAUCAGCUUGUUGGUGGGGUGAUGGCCACCAAGGCGACGACGGGUAGCCGGCCUGAGAGGGCGACCGGCCACACUGGGACUGAGACACGGCCCAGACUCCUACGGGAGGCAGCAGUGGGGAAUCUUGCGCAAUGGGCGAAAGCCUGACGCAGCGACGCCGCGUGA
rnacentral:rRNA from 1 species